rnacentral:rRNA from 1 species
UACGGAGGGUGCAAGCGUUGUUCGGAAUUACUGGGCGUAAAGCGUGCGCAGGCGGUCUGUUAAGACAGAUGUGAAAUCCCCGGGCUUAACCUGGGAACUGCAUUUGUGACUGGCAGGCUAGAGUAUGGCAGAGGGGGGUAGAAUUCCACGUGUAGCAGUGAAAUGCGUAGAGAUGUGGAGGAAUACCGAUGGCGAAGGCAGCCCCCUGGGCCAAUACUGACGCUCAUGCACGAAAGCGUGGGGAGCAAACAGG